rnacentral:misc_RNA from 1 species
AAUAAUAAUAAUAAUAAUAAUAAUAACAAUGCUAGGCUAACAUUCUACAGUCACUUUCAAAAAGGUUGACAAUAAUCCAAGCAUAGCUCUCGCGCUCCAAAAUUUGUCAAUUUCAAACAGCAAAGGCAUCCUCUUCCAAAGAAUGAACACAUUCCAGCUAAAAACGUCAACUUUCCUGCAAAGCCUUCAUCAAAUACAAUCGGCUGAAGCUCUGCCCAGUAACCCCGUUUAUUUGGUUGCAAAAGUUUGAGAUUUGAUUGGUAAUGAGGAAGCUAUCCAACCGUGAUGGCUCAGGUAUUGGCUUAAAAAUGGGGUUUGAAGGAUCCUCCUCAGGCAGAGGCUCUUCUCCUUCCUGCAGCUUUACGUGCCAUGUUCUCUGACCUUCUCUUCUGAAGCCAUGCUUGUUGCUGAGCUUGCUGGCGUGCUGGCGUGAAAGAUUCCGAUAGUAAAAUUGGAACUUCUGCUGUUCAAUUGACAAUUCAUCCAUGCACUCAAUCAAAAAUUCAACAUUUCUCUCCAUAAAUGGAUUGGUUGAUAAUUGCAAACGAUCAUAAUCACACUG